ACGGCGGACGGGUGAGUAACGCGUGGGUAACCUACCCUGUACACACGGAUAACAUACCGGAAGGUAUGCUAAUACGGGAUAAUAUAUUUGAGAGGCAUCUCUUAAAUGUCAAAGGUGAGCCAGUACAGGAUGGACCCGCGUCUGAUUAGCUAGUUGGUAAGGUAACGGCUUACCAAGGCGACGAUCAGUAGCCGACCUGAGAGGGUGAUCGGCCACAUUGGAACUGAGACACGGUCCAA
rnacentral:rRNA from 1 species